rnacentral:tRNA from 1 species
GCGCGCGUAGCUCAGCGGUAGAGCAUCUGUCUUACACACAGAGGGUCCCUGGUUCGAACCCAGGCGCGCGCA